AAUCCCCUGCAGUGUUUGUGUUGGCCGUAGAUUCCUUGAACCAAUGUCUUCGAGACUUGGUUGCUGACUGAUGAUUCGCCAGUGUGCCGUCCCCACUGUCGGGAAUGCCUGAGGCGAUCGGAAAGCGACCUCCCUGAAUCCCAGGUUCAGGAUGCCCGGCCAGGGCGGCACACGCGGGGGGCCA
rnacentral:other from 2 species